CGCUUUGCUCCCCCAGGGCGCCGCCGCGGCUACUUUGUGGCAGGUUCCGGCGGCCCGGCCCGGGGCCUGCGGAGUCCGUCUCCGACGUGUGCGGGGCUGCAGCGGCCUGACUUCCACGCGCAGGUUGGAAACUACAGGCACAAGCCAUAGAAGCUUGAAUAUUCAGGUGCUGGUAUUUUAAAGCUGACUUCACACCAACUCUGCAGUUUGCUAUAUACACAUGCCUCUAGUGAGGUCACAUAGUCUUACAUCAUGUUUACCAACCACGUGUCCAGUGCUGGCGGGGACAGGGUGGCACAGCAGGUGUUCCAUAUUUCAUCUUGUCAUUUAGUUCUAACAACUUUGUGAAGUUGACUCUAGCCUCUCAUUUUACAGAUGAAGCAACCACCAGUCAGGUACUGACUCAGGGUCCUGUCACAUGUGGAGCCCUGAACAGGGAUCCUCAUGGAACUUUCUGGCUCUGGGACCUCUUAGAAAGUUAUUUCCCUCUCUGGGCAUUUAAUGUUGUAGUGUAACAGUAGAAAAACUGAAAUAGAUGAGGCCAGUUUGGUCAGCGGAGACCACAGUUAGAGCUAUGAAGAAUAUAAGCUCUUUGCAGCAUUUAAUCAUGUUGAACCCACAGAAAUUACCCAUGAUUUGGCACAAAGGAAGUAUGUGUCAGCCUGUCCGGUGGUUUGAUGAAUGAGCAUAACAGCCAGGAAAGAGGAUUUAAAGGGCACAGUGGUGCUAGAUUGUUGAAACAUGAAAGUAUCCCAGGUGAUGGGGGAAGUUUCUGUACGGGAAGAAAUAGGACAGUGUAGCAAGAUGAACCGAGGGCUAGUUCUUUCUGCUGACCAGCCCUGAUUGUGUGCAGAUACCUCAUUUUCCAGAAGUUUUAAAUAAAGAUAUUUAAUAUUAA